rnacentral:rRNA from 1 species
GCCCGCUCAGAACUACAAAGGAAGUUGACGGGGAGCACUACAACGGGUGGAGCCUGUCGGUUUAAUUGGAUCAACGCCGGAAAUCUCACCGGGGCGACAGCAAUAUGAAGGUCAGGCUGAAGACCUUACCCGAUUAGCUGAGAGGUGGUGCAUGGCCGUCGUCAGUUCGUACUGUGAAGCAUCCUGUUAAGUCAGGCAACGAGCGAGACCCACGUCCACAGUUGCCAGCAUACCCUCCGGGGUGAUGGGUACACUGUGGAGACCGCCGCUGCUAAAGCGGAGGAAGGAGUGGGCAACGGUAGGUCAGUAUGCCCCGAAUCUCCCGGGCUACACGCGGGCUACAAUGGUUGGUACAAUGGGCAUCUACCCCGAAAGGGGAAGGAAAUCUCUUAAAGCCAAUCGUAGUUCGGAUUGAGGGCUGCAACUCGCCCUCAUGAAGCUGGAAUCCGUAGUAAUCGCGUUUCAACAGAACGCGGUGAAUACGUCCCUGCUCCUU